rnacentral:rRNA from 1 species
GAUGAACGCUGGCGGCGUGCCUAAUACAUGCAAGUCGAGCGAAUGGAUUGAGAGCUUGCUCUUAUGAAGUUAGCGGCGGACGGGUGAGUAACACGUGGGUAACCUGCCCAUAAGACUGGGAUAACUCCGGGAAACCGGGGCUAAUACCGGAUAACAUUUUGAACCGCAUGGUUCGAAAUUGAAAGGCGGCUUCGGCUGUCACUUAUGGAUGGACCCGCGUCGCAUUAGCUAGUUGGUGAGGUAACGGCUCACCAAGGCAACGAUGCGUAGCCGACCUGGGAGGGUGAUCGGCCACACUGGGACUGGGACACGGCCCAGACUCCGACGGGAGGCAGCAGUAGGGAAUCUUCCGCAAUGGACGAAAGUCUGACGGAGCAACGCCGCGUGAGUGAUGAAGGCUUUCGGGUCGUAAAACUCUGUUGUUAGGGAAGAACAAGUGCUAGUUGAAUAAGCUGGCACCUUGACGGUACCUAACCAGAAAGCCACGGCUAACUACGUGCCAGCCGCCGCGGUAA